AUUGAACGCUGGCGGCAGGCUUAACACAUGCAAGUCGAGCGGGGGAAGGUAGCUUGCUACCGGACCUAGCGGCGGACGGGUGAGUAAUGCUUAGGAAUCUGCCUAUUAGUGGGGGACAACAUCUCGAGAGGGAUGCUAAUACCGCAUACGUCCUACGGGAGAAAGCAGGGGAUCUUCGGACCUUGCGCUAAUAGAUGAGCCUAAGUCGGAUUAGCUAGUUGGUGGGGUAAAGGCCUACCAAGGCGACGAUCUGUAGCGGGUCUGAGAGGAUGAUCCGCCCCACUGGGACUGAGACACGGCCCAGACUCCUACGGGAGGCAGCAGUGGGGAAUAUUGGACAAUGGGGGGAACCCUGAUCCAGCCAUGCCGCGUGUGUGAAGAAGGCCUUAUGGUUGUAAAGCACUUUAAGCGAGGAGGAGGCUACUUUAGUUAAUACCUAGAGAUAGUGGACGUUACUCGCAGAAUAAGCACCGGCUAACUCUGUGCCAGCCGCCGCGGUAA
rnacentral:rRNA from 1 species